rnacentral:rRNA from 1 species
GUAGGUGGCAAGCGUUGUCCGGAAUUAUUGGGCGUAAAGCGCGCGCAGGCGGUUCUUUAAGUCUGAUGUGAAAGCCCACGGCUCAACCGUGGAGGGUCAUUGGAAACUGGAGAACUUGAGUACAGAAGAGGAAAGCGGAAUUCCACGUGUAGCGGUGAAAUGCGUAGAGAUGUGGAGGAACACCAGUGGCGAAGGCGGCUUCUGGUCUGUAACUGACGCUGAGGCGCGAAAGCGUGGGGAGCAAACAGGAUUAGAUACCCUGGUAGUCCACGCCGUAAACGAUGAGUGCUAAGUGUUAGGGGGUUUCCGCCCCCCUUAGUGCUGCAGCUAACGCAUUAAGCACUCCGCCUGGGAGUACGGCCGCAAGGCUG